GACGAACGCUGGCGGCGUGCCUAAUACAUGCAAGUCGAGCGAAUCGAUGGGAGCUUGCUCCCUGAGAUUAGCGGCGGACGGGUGAGUAACACGUGGGUAACCUGCCUGUAAGACUGGGAUAACUUCGGGAAACCGGAGCUAAUACCGGAUACUUUCUUUUCUCGCAUGAGGGAAGAUGGAAAGAUGGUUUCGGCUAUCACUUACAGAUGGACCCGCGGCGCAUUAGCUAGUUGGUGAGGUAACGGCUCACCAAGGCAACGAUGCGUAGCCGACCUGAGAGGGUGAUCGGCCACACUGGGACUGAGACACGGCCCAGACUCCUACGGGAGGCAGCAGUAGGGAAUCUUCCGCAAUGGACGAAAGUCUGACGGAGCAACGCCGCGUGAGCGAAGAAGGCCUUCGGGUCGUAAAGCUCUGUUGUUAGGGAGGAACAAGUACGAGAGUAACUGCUCGUACCUUGACGGUACCUAACCAGAAAGCCACGGCUAACUACGUGCCAGCCGCCGCCGUAACAC
rnacentral:rRNA from 1 species